AGCGGCGGAUGGGUGAGUAACACGUGGGGAACCUGCCCCUAAGUCUGGGAUACCAUUUGGAAACAGGUGCUAAUACCGGAUAAUAAAGCAGAUCGCAUGAUCAGCUUUUGAAAGGCGGCGUAAGCUGUCGCUAAGGGAUGGCCCCGCGGUGCAUUAGCUAGUUGGUAAGGUAACGGCUUACCAAGGCGACGAUGCAUAGCCGAGUUGAGAGACUGAUCGGCCACAUUGGGACUGAGACACGGCCCAAACUCCUACGGGAGGCAGCAGUAGGGAAUCUUCCACAAUGGACGCAAGUCUGAUGGAGCAACGCCGCGUGAGUGAAGAAGGUUUUCGGAUCGUAAAGCUCUGUUGUUGGUGAAGAAGGAUAGAGGUAGUAACUGGCCAUUAUUUGACGGUAAUCAACCAGAAAGUCACGGCUAACUACGUGCCAGCAGCCGCGGUAAUACGUAGGUGGCAAGCGUUGUCCGGAUUUAUUGGGCGUAAAGCGAGCGCAGGCGGAAAAAUAAGUCUAAUGUGAAAGCCCUCGGCUUAACCGAGGAACUGCAUCGGAAACUGUUUUUCUUGAGUGCAGAAGAGGAGAGUGGAACUCCAUGUGUAGCGGUGGAAUGCGUAGAUAUAUGGAAGAACACCAGUGGCGAAAGGCGGCUCUCUGGUCUGCAACUGACGCUGAGGCUCGAAAGCAUGGGUAGCGAACAGGAUUAGAUACCCUGGUAGUCCAUGCCGUAAACGAUGAGUGCUAAGUGU
rnacentral:rRNA from 1 species